AGUUUGAGAGAGAAACAGCGCGAGAGAAAGAGAGAGCGAGAGAGAGAGAGAACUGGAGGCUGUGUUCUAACCUGGGUUUGGAUUUUGUGGAUUUGUUUUCAGCAAAAGUAAGAGAAGAGUUGGGCUUCUUUUCUUGGGGUCCAUCCAUUUGCAAUUGUCAUGACUCAUGACUGAAACAGAAAGAGGAAGAGAAUAGGAGUUUACGGUUGUGAAAUUGGAUUUGUCAGAGGGUUGGGUGUAUGUGAUUAGUGAGGCUGUUGCUUAGUGGUGCUUCAUCAAGGGAGGCUCGACUUCAAAGCUGGUUAUCAGAAGUUCUUUAAGGUUUCACAUGCUGCUGUUGUAAGAAAUUGGUCUGCAAGGUCUGAAGAGAAGGAGAAGGUUGAAUCUGUAAAUCAAGAUAAGUGGAAGGGAAUUUUUUAUAGGCAAUUUUUGAAAUUAUGCUCAACUUUAAAUUUUUAGAAAUUUUUUUAUAAGGGUUUUUUUCCGAGAUUGAGGCAAGUGAUUGGUGGUAAACUGUAUUAGGUUUUUGUUUGUAUCUGGGAGUGGUUAGUUUAUGCUGUUCUUCUAUUUGAUUGGAAUGCAAUUUGCUUAACCCUUUGAACUUAACUAAAAUUGAUAGGUGAGAGGAGAGUUGGCCUUCAUUUCAAA